GGGCACUUGGCACAGUUGGUAGCGCGCUCGCUUCGCAUCCUCGAGAUCGAAUAUUGCGUGAGGUCGUGGGUUCAAUUCCCACAGUGUCCA
rnacentral:tRNA from 2 species